AGUGGCGCACGGGUGAGUAACGCGUGAACAACCUGACCUUCAGAGGGGGAUAACAGCGAGAAAUCGGUGCUAAUACCGCAUAAGACCACAAUGUCGCAUGACGAAGGGGUCAAAGGAGCAAUCCGCUGAAGGAGGGGUUCGCGUCCCAUUAGGUAGUUGGUGAGAUAACAGCCCACCAAGCCGACGAUGGGUAGCCGAGCUGAGAGGCUGAUCGGCCACACUGGAACUGAGACACGGUCCAGACUCCUACGGGAGGCAGCAGUGGGGAAUAUUGGGCAAUGGGCGAAAGCCUGACCCAGCAACGCCGCGUGAAGGAAGAAGGUUUUCGGAUUGUAAACUUCUGUUGCAGGGGACGAAUGAAUGACGGUACCCUGUUAGAAAGCCCCGGCUAACUACGUGCCAGCAGCCGCGGUAAUACGUAGGGGGCGAGCGUUGUCCGGAACGACUGGGCGUAAAGGGCGUGUAGGCGGCCUGUUAAGUUAGAAGUGAAAGUCCUGCUUUCAAGGUGGGAAUUGCUUUUAAUACUGAUGGGCUUGAGUGCAGAAGAGGUAAGUGGAAUUCCCAGUGUAGCGGUGAAAUGCGUAGAGAUUGGGAGGAACACCAGUGGCGAAGGCGACUUACUGGGCUGUAACUGACGCUGAGGCGCGAAAGCGUGGGGAGCGAACAGGAUUAGAUACCCUGGUAGUCCACGCGGUAAACGAUGAAUGCUAGGUGUAGGGGGUAUCGACCCCUCCUGUGCCGGAGUAAACACAAUAAGCAUUCCGCCUGGGGAGUACGGCCGCAAGGUUGAAACUCAAAGGAAUUGACGGGGGCCCGCACAAGCAGCGGAGCAUGUGGUUUAAUUCGAAGCAACGCGAAGAACCUUACCAGGUCUUGACAUCGAGGAAAACUCAUAGAGAUAUGAGGUCCCUUCGGGGGUCCGAAGACAGGUGGUGCAUGGUUGUCGUUAGCUCGUGUCGUGAGAUGUUGGGUUAAGUCCCGCAACGAGCGCAACCCCUGUUGCCAGUUGCCAGCAUUAGGUUGGGGACUCUGGCGAGACUGCCUCUGCAAGGAGGAGGAAGGCGGGGAUGACGUCAAAUCAUCAUGCCCCUUAUGACCUGGGCUACACACGUGCUACAAUGGACGGAUCAGAGGGAAGCGAAAUCGCGAGAUGGAGCGAAACCCAGAAACCCGUUCUCAGUUCGGACUGCAGUCUGCAACUCGACUGCACGAAGCUGGAAUCGCUAGUAAUCGCGAAUCAGAAUGUCGCGGUGAAUACGUUCUCGGGCCUU
rnacentral:rRNA from 1 species